UACGGAGGGAGCUAGCGUUGUUCGGAAUUACUGGGCGUAAAGCCCACGUAGGCGGCUUUGUAAGUUAGAGGUGAAAGCCCGGGGCUCAACUCCGGAACUGCCUUUAAGACUGCAUCGCUUGAAUCCAGGAGAGGUGAGUGGAAUUCCGAGUGUAGAGGUGAAAUUCGUAGAUAUUCGGAAGAACACCAGUGGCGAAGGCGGCUCACUGGACUGGUAUUGACGCUGAGGUGCGAAAGCGUGGGGAGCAAACAGG
rnacentral:rRNA from 1 species